rnacentral:rRNA from 1 species
UUGUUGGGUAGGGGAGCGUUCUGUAAGCCUGUGAAGGUGGCCUGUGAGGGUUGCUGGAGGUAUCAGAAGUGCGAAUGCUGACAUAAGUAACGAUAAAGCGGGUGAAAAGCCCGCUCGCCGGAAGACCAAGGGUUCCUGUCCAACGUUAAUCGGGGCAGGGUGAGUCGACCCCUAAGGCGAGGCCGAAAGGCGUAGUCGAUGGGAAACGGGUUAAUAUUCCCGUACUUGGUGUUACUGCGAAGGGGGGACGGAGAAGGCUAUGUUGGCCGGGCGACGGUUGUCCCGGUUUAAGCGUGUAGGUGUGUGUUCCAGGUAAAUCCGGUUCACUUUAACACUGAGGCGUGAUGACGAGGCACUACGGUGCUGAAGCAACAAAUGCCCUGCUUCCAGGAAAAGCCUCUAAGCAUCAGGUAACAUCAAAUCGUACCCCAAACCGACACAGGUGGUCAGGUAGAGAAUACCAAGGCGCUUGAGAGAACUCGGGUGAAGGAACUAGGCAAAAUGGUGCCGUAACUUCGGGAGAAGGCACGCUGACAUGUAGGUGAAGUGAUUUACUCACGGAGCUGAAGUCAGUCGAAGAUACCAGCUGGCUGCAACUGUUUAUUAAAAACACAGCACUGUGCAAACACGAAAGUGGACGUAUACGGUGUGACGCCUGCCCGGUGCCGGAAGGUUAAUUGAUGGGGUCAGCGCAAGCGAAGCUCCUGAUCGAAGCCCCGGUAAACGGCGGCCGUAACUAUAACGGUCCUAAGGUAGCGAAAUUCCUUGUCGGGUAAGUUCCGACCUGCACGAAUGGCGUAAUGAUGGCCAGGCUGUCUCCACCCGAGACUCAGUGAAAUUGAACUCGCUGUGAAGAUGCAGUGUACCCGCGGCAAGACGGAAAGACCCCGUGAACCUUUACUAUAGCUUGACACUGAACAUUGAGCCUUGAUGUGUAGGAUAGGUGGGAGGCUUUGAAGUGUGGACGCCAGUCUGCAUGGAGCCGGCCUUGAAAUACCACCCUUUAAUGUUUGAUGUUCUAACGUGGACCCGUGAUCCGGGUUGCGGACAGUGUCUGGUGGGUAGUUUGACUGGGGCGGUCUCCUCCUAAAGAGUAACGGAGGAGCACGAAGGUUGGCUAAUCCUGGUCGGACAUCAGGAGGUUAGUGCAAUGGCAUAAGCCAGCUUGACUGCGAGCGUGACGGCGCGAGCAGGUGCGAAAGCAGGUCAUAGUGAUCCGGUGGUUCUGAAUGGAAGGGCCAUCGCUCAACGGAUAAAAGGUACUCCGGGGAUAACAGGCUGAUACCGCCCAAGAGUUCAUAUCGACGGCGGUGUUUGGCACCUCGAUGUCGGCUCAUCACAUCCUGGGGCUGAAGUAGGUCCCAAGGGUAUGGCUGUUCGCCAUUUAAAGUGGUACGCGAGCUGGGUUUAGAACGUCGUGAGACAGUUCGGUCCCUAUCUGCCGUGGGCGCUGGAGAACUGAGGGGGGCUGCUCCUAGUACGAGAGGACCGGAGUGGACGCAUCACUGGUGUUCGGGUUGUCAUGCCAAUGGCACUGCCCGGUAGCUAAAUGCGGAAGAGAUAAGUGCUGAAAGCAUCUAAGCACGAAACUUGCCCCGAGAUGAGUUCU